AGGCAGCAGUGAGGAAUAUUGGUCAAUGGAGGCAACUCUGAACCAGCCAUGCCGCGUGCAGGAUGACGGUCCUAUGGAUUGUAAACUGCUUUUGUACGGGAAGAAAACAAACUACGCGUAGUUAAUUGACGGUACCGUAAGAAUAAGGAUCGGCUAACUCCGUGCCAGCAGCCGCGGUAA
rnacentral:rRNA from 1 species